rnacentral:rRNA from 1 species
GACGAACGCUGGCGGCGUGCCUAAUACAUGCAAGUAGAACGCUGAAGGAGGAGCUUGCUUCUCUGGAUGAGUUGCGAACGGGUGAGUAACGCGUAGGUAACCUGCCUGGUAGCGGGGGAUAACUAUUGGAAACGAUAGCUAAUACCGCAUAAGAGUAGAUGUUGCAUGACAUUUGCUUAAAAGGUGCAAUUGCAUCACUACCAGAUGGACCUGCGUUGUAUUAGCUAGUUGGUGAGGUAACGGCUCACCAAGGCAACGAUACAUAGCCGACCUGAGAGGGUGAUCGGCCACACUGGGACUGAGACACGGCCCAGACUCCUACGGGAGGCAGCAGUAGGGAAUCUUCGGCAAUGGACGGAAGUCUGACCGAGCAACGCCGCGCGAGUGAAGAAGGUUUUCGGAUCGUAAAGCUCUGUUGUAAGAGAAGAACGAGUGUGAGAGUGGAAAGUUCACACUGUGACGGUAUCUACCA